UGGUAAUGAUGAGGGCAAUUCCUGAGCAUAACCUUGAAUCUUUCCCAAGCUUGGUAAAGAUUCUCUCUAUCUUUUUGUCUGAGACUCAAAAUCUCACUUCUCAAGUG
rfam:Capsicum annuum cultivar Zunla-1 chromosome 2, whole genome shotgun sequence